UACGUAGGGGGCUAGCGUUGUCCGGAAUCAUUGGGCGUAAAGCGCGCGUAGGCGGCCAGAUAAGUCCGGUGUGAAAGCCACAGGCUCAACCUGUGAAUUGCCGCUGGAAACUGUCUGGCUAGAGUCCGGGAGGGGGCGAGUGGAAUUCCUGGUGUAGCGGUGAAAUGCGCAGAUAUCAGGAGGAACACCGGUGGCGAAGGCGGAUCUCUGGGCCGUAACUGACGCUGAGGAGCGAAAGCAUGGGGAGCGAACAGG
rnacentral:rRNA from 1 species